AAAAAAAUGAACGUAGUUUAUUAUUUACAUUUUUUUGGUCUCGUUUCGUUUCUCAAGUUCUUUGAUAUUUUCCUACUUAUUUCCUAUUUUGUUACAAUUUGUAGCUUACAAGUUCAUCGAAUCGAGCCCUACUUCCCCGUUUUUGCGUCGGCAUUCUACUGUAAAAACUUCCAGAACCAUUAUGUAUUUUGGAAAGAGCUGAUAUGAUAAAAAGUUUGUCUAUAAUGUGUUAGAUGCUGAUCGACUUUGUCAUACUAACUAAGAGAUGCAAGCAACAAUAACAAGUCUCUUAAAGAAUGUUCCAGUCCAGAGAGUUGGAAACAAUUAUUGUGUCUGUAUAAGUUGUGGAAUAUCUUUGCACAGGCACUCAAAAAGACAAACUCACAGGCCAUAGGCUUAUGGAAAAAAGGGUUAAGUGGUAUUAUAUUGAAAAACAAAUAUCAGACAGAUGCCUGAUGGAUGCCCAUGUAUGGGUUGUUUGCAGGAUGAGCUCACCUCAAAAGCAUGAGCUCUAGAGAACAUUAAAGUUGUGUUAAGUGUGCCAGUGCAUUGUACCUUAUCUAGUUAGUAGCUAGGUAUUAGCUGGAAAUAUUUUGUUCAUAGAUUUUGUGAAACUAUAAGCUUAAAUCACUUUAUCAUAUUAUCAUAUCAUUAAAUAGAAAAAAAAUAGGUAUGUAUAUUUUAAUAUAGUAUAAUGUUAUUGUUAAGUUUAUUCCAUACCAAGUCUGUUAAAAAAUCAUAAGUAGGUAUAUGGUCUUCUUCUAUCAUAUAGGUUGUGAGGUGGAUGACCAACCUCAUAAACCCUGGUAUCAAGGUUAUUACUCAGCCACCAAAGUCCCCUGACAUGGGUUUUGUAACAACCAUGUAUUUACAUCGAUAAGUAGUAACCGGGACCAAUGGCUUAACAUGCCAUCGGAAGCACAAUCGGGUGAUCAGCCAGCCGUGUCCUAACUAACUGGGGAUUACAAAGUAACUUUUGUGAUAUGGCCCCACCAUGAUUCAAGCUUUGGAUCGUGACCCCAGCGAUCAACGACUGGACCACAGAGGCUGAGACUACUUGGUUAAGUUAAUGUUUUAUUUAAACUAUUUGAUUUUAAAUGUAUAAAUUUUAAAUAUAAU